GAACGAUGAACCACUUCGGUGGGGAUUAGUGGCGAACGGGUGAGUAACACGUGGGCAAUCUGCCCUUCACUCUGGGACAAGCCCUGGAAACGGGGUCUAAUACCGGAUAACACUCCUGUCCUCCUGGACGGGGGUUAAAAGCUCCGGCGGUGAAGGAUGAGCCCGCGGCCUAUCAGCUUGUUGGUGAGGUAAUGGCUCACCAAGGCGACGACGGGUAGCCGGCCUGAGAGGGCGACCGGCCACACUGGGACUGAGACACGGCCCAGACUCCUACGGGAGGCAGCAGUGGGGAAUAUUGCACAAUGGGCGAAAGCCUGAUGCAGCGACGCCGCGUGAGGGAUGACGGCCUUCGGGUUGUAAACCUCUUUCAGCAGGGAAGAAGCGAAAGUGACGGUACCUGCAGAAGAAGCGCCGGCUAACUACGUGCCAGCAGCCGGUCGUAAUUCAA
rnacentral:rRNA from 3 species